rnacentral:rRNA from 1 species
AACGUAGGACACAAGCGUUAUCCGGAAUUACUGGGCGUAAAGGGAGUGCAGGCGGUUGCGUAAGUUAGGCGUGAAAGACCCCGGCUCAACUGGGGGGUGUCGUGCGAUACGGGCGGACUGGAGGCCAGUAGGGGGAUGCGGAAUUCCGGGUGUAGUGGUGGAAUGCGUAGAGAUCCGGAGGAACACCAGCGGCGAAGGCGGCAUCCUGGACUGGUCCUGACACUCAGGAGCGAAAGCGUGGGGAGCGAUCCGG